AAGAAGAAGAAGAAGAAGAAGAAGAAGAAGAAGAAGAAGCUGCUAACGUGGUGGACUUGUGAUGCCAAACAUGGCGAUAAAUAAGGACGCUAAAGUGGAGUAAACACGACACCUGUCUGAACACCUAAAGCCCAUGAAAGUCGCAGUCUUCCAAUGAAAGUAAGUAACCUUUGUCAUGUCUUUCUGCACCCCACCGAAGUUAGCUACAAGGAGCUACUAAAAAGUUGCUCCCUAGCUAGCUUUGCACUUCUCGUACUAUGCCAACUAUAGGUACAUUACUUUGUCUACACUGUUAUUGCAAACCACGGAAAUGUUGCGGUUUCUUUGGUUUAAUAUUGUCAUUCUUAUGCCUUUUAUUUCAUUGUGCUCGCCUUGUACACUUAGUGACAUCGAUUCUGUUUAAUAUAUUUCAGCAAAUGAAUCUCUAAAAGUUACGUAACUGUUAAUUUUUGUUGACUCAUGAAUUAUUUGCAUAAGCUAUUACAUUACAUUCAAGGUGCAGUCCCUUCAUUUCAAACCCAAUCACAAUUUUGUAGCACAUACUGGAUUGAUUUUUCUCUAUUUUCUAUUUUUCUCUAUUUAUUUUCCUCUUCUUCUUCAGCAGUUGGCCUACUAGUUUGCCUGUUUAACAUAUAAAUAUUAUUUUCCAUUUUUAUCAUCUCUGCUUUGCUGCUAGAUACAACCCACAGCUUGAAGAGGUAGCUUAAGCUUUUGUGCCGUGGGCUUUUGAGAGGUUUUCAACAAAAACUGAAUCACCCACAAGGGGUACCUAUCAACUUGGCUCCAUUAUUAAGAAACUGAGCAAAUAAGAUAAGCUGUCAACCGAUGCACUACAUAAUACAAAACACUAAUGUAAAUGCUAUGUUCAGAUAACUUUACAGAGGCCUGACACUCAAUCUUUCAGUAUGCAGAACAGACAGGCUGAUUGUAGACUUCAUAAGCAAAAGGCAGAAAUAUACAUCCUUCUUUGUCAACUUAUGCAGGUGCAUCACUGAUACAAUCCUGACUGACUGCAUCACUGCCUGGAAUGGCACAUGAACCGCCUGCAACCAUAUGGCUCCACAGGGGGGAAGUGAAAGCUGCAGCACACAUCAGGAGAGCUGACUGAAAUGAAGGGAUAGGACCAACAUCAUCACAUUAAACAAUUCAAGGAUCCAGGACACAGUAUACCAGCAUCCCCUCCUGCAAUGCCAGGCUGCAGAGAAAGCAGCAGCCCUAAGGUAACAAGCCUGACAGACAGAGCUGACAGAGUCAUCAUUCUGACACUUCAUUCACACCUGAGUGAUACACAUGACAAAAAAUUACCUGUUACUGGAGGUGCCGGUUUGGCCUCAUGGUUGGGUUGCGCAUCCAAUAUACAGAGGCUGUAGUCCAGCCCAGAUUCAAUUUCAACCUGCAGCUCCUGUCUUGCACGUCUUUUCCCAUUCCCUUCUCUGGUUUCCUGCUCUAUUCUCUACAUUUUUCUUCUUUAAAAAAGGCAUAAAAUCUCCCCCCCAAAAAAGUAACUUCGAAAAAUACAGAAUACCUGUUAAUACAUGUGCAGUACAUACCCUGUAUUUGUCAGUGCUCAGCUGUCUGAUAUCAUGUUCUGAUCUGUAAAUAAUCUCUCCAUAUCACAGAGGGCUAAUCUUGUCCCCUUUUAUUAAAACUCCAUAUGUAACAUAUAUUUGAGUCUUGCUAAAGACAGACCCUAAGAAGUAGAAUUUAAUGGAAAACUACUACUUCAUCUUGCAUAUGACUUGAAAAGACUUGUCUUGUUUCUACAUUCUUCAGAAUUAAUUCCUUGAGUGUGAAAAAUUUAAAAUGCUUUGAGUGCAUUCUUGCCCUGUGCCUUCACCAUGCCUUGAAAGCAGUCAGGCUAUUGUAUUGACUCAGUGAAUAGAGCUGCUGUGACACUUCAGGCCACAAGAUGGCAUGAGAAACCUACAGCUGUGACCUGAUAUCAGCUCUUGAGAUGAGAUAGUAAAUGGAGUGAUGUAAAUUGCUUUUCUAAAGGUGUUUGUGAAUCCUGAAUUGACCAAGUGGAAAUUAGAGAUAAGAUAUUUUAAUGUUGCUCUCUUUGAAUAUUAUAGACCCUGCAGUAUGGAGUGAGUUUAUUUCUCCACUAAGUGAUGACAUUUUGACAACAAUGAGUUAUCUUCGACCAGAGAAGAGAAAUGAAGUCACUAUCGCUCAAUCACCUUUUAAUUUAAUUGACAUUUUGAUGCUUUCUCUUCUUUGUAAAUGCCCGCGUAAUGAUACUGUUUACAUCAGUGAUUUGUUGCUUCUCUUGUCGGCCCAAUUACUUAACAUUUCUUUCAAUCUGAUUAUUUUCUUCUCUCUGUCUGGCAUGUAGAGGACAACAGAUCACUCCUAUUUUAGGAGAGCAGUGCUUAGGCAGACGGUAGAUUCAAGUCCAUCAUCAUCUCCUCAUUUCCUGCAGCUAUUUAAGACUGUGCCUCUCAAAAAUAGGCGCCCGAUGACCGCAGCCGGAGCUAUCUGGGGACCUGCUUUCAAACUAAUUUGAGGAUAUUAGGAUGUCUCUGAGUGUUUUGUUUUGACAUUUCUAUACCUUCACUAGUCGGUCGUGUGCACGAAGCGUGUGCCAUCUGACUUAAUGCCAUUUUAGAAGUCGGCUCAGAUGUUUUUAGGUUCCCAUAACUAUAUAUUGUACAUCUUGAGUGCUUUAUAAUUUCUAUGCUGCACAUUGUUAUUUUGGAAAUGUUCUCAAAACCCAAAGUAAGGCUUAACUGACAGACAGGUCUCACACACACACACACACACACACACACACACACACACACAGAGUGUAGCUCUGUGAGCCCAGUCCUACGACAUCCCGCCCAAAGGUUAUAUUCUAUCCGAAAUGUUGGGUGUGUAGUAAAAUACAUGCUCCACACUGUCUGGCUCUUCUAAUGAAGGGGUUUAUGACUGGUAGUCCUGUGUUUGUACCAUGUAUCAUGCACCGCUCUAUCACUGGAUACAAGGUCAGAUCAUAUCUCAUCCUAUAUCUGCCAGCCGUGCAAGUCUGCAAUCAGAGCUCAGUCUAUCAGACAAAGUGGAGACAUUAUUUUGGAACAUGAAGCGGCUUUUCAAAACUGAAAGAUUUUGAUUACUCUUGAGGCAAAAAAAAUAUAAUUUGAUGUAUUCUGGGAGCACUUUCUGCUGCCACCAUUGUUUCUUUAAUAAAAAAAAAACACCUAAUGCAGUUUUUCAAAAACUAUUAUUCUGAGUCAGAUGCAGCUUUACGUGGCCGGGCUUGCCAGACUGCGAGCUCUCAGCACCCACAGUGUUAAUGUAUAAUGUCAACGCAGUAGGGAGCCUUGUUAAAAAGCAAUUAAGCCAAAAUGAUUUAAACAUUGUGCGGUUUGGCCAUUGGCGAGCCUCGAGGUACACACUGUGUUGUUGUCUUAAAAUGAGAAUUUCACUGUCUGCUCACACUGAAAACCGCUAUUUGUGUGAGUGUAGCUCUAACCACACUUUCCCACACCCGCCAAACCAUACCAAACCACAGACUUCAGAUGAGUAUGCGCACCACACACACACUCUCGCACAGAGACACACACACACAGUAUUCACAUGAAGAGUAAUUGAGGGGUUUGACUAGUUUUUGGUGCAUUAAAACAGUAGCUGUUUUAAAUGACAGGGGCUGAGACAUACUUGCAUUGAUGUCUGUGAGACUGGUAAAGAUGGCUGAUUACUCAAAGAGGACGUGGCAUUCAGUAACUCUUAUUUUAUUCCUCUUUAUUCAGAGGAGUUUGACUGAAUCGCUCCAUUUAAGCUUUUUCCUGACUGUAAUACGCUCUUAAUCCGCGGCUUUCUCGCUCAGUACAUUCAUUUCUUGAGUGAUUUCAGGCACAAGCCUUUCUGCAAACAGUGGUCUUAUUUUUGAUGAUCAAAACAUUACUGCUGACAAACGAGAGUCUUGAACAGGCAACCAAAAGCUAUUAAGUUGUUCCUGUUGUUGCCAGAGCAACAGCUCAUCCCAUAUUCCAUGUGAUAAUUUGUCAUUAUGUGCAAGUCUCCCAGUAAGUCUACCAGAGUUACGUAAGCAUCUUCAAAUUGAGUUCCAGUGGCUGUUGUCUUAGACAAAGAUUAGUGCAAGGCCAGAGUCAGACACUUUUUUAGCUGUUGGCAGAUUGUUAGCUUACACUCAGUGUGUAAAAUGUGCUCAUCACAGCCAGACUGCUUGGAUGUGGUUUGGAACAUCUGUGUGGUCCCCACUCCAGAAGAAGACAGACAGGGGAGAGACAGGGAGUGAGGGGAGGGGAGGGUUGGUGGUACCCCAGGGCUGCUCAGAAAGAAGCCCUCAGUUUUUCCAUCACUGCUGUCGCCACCAGCACUGUGGUGGUGUUGCCUCUGAGCCGAGCCAGGGGACAGUGUGAGGCAGAUGCAUAAAUGUGUUUUUUGUGUGUGUUCGUGGGAGAGCAAAAAGAGAGAGAAAUACGGAGGGGUGAAAGCAAGACGGGGACAAAGUGGCUGUGUCAGGAGCCGUCAGUCUGCUCGAUGACUGAUGAAGUUGAAGGUUAAGUCUGGCAAUUCAGCUGGGGGCAGGGAGAAGGGGGGGUAUUUUAAGGAGACUUGGUCCAAACCUGCGGUCGGCUCCCCCACCACCAGCAGCAGCACCACCACCACCACCACAACCCAGCUCCCCGCCUGCAUGCGUGUGGUGUUUAUUUACGAGCCUGUUUAACCACGGCGCGGUCCCUGUGGUGGACUGACACAAGAUGACAGCAGCCUAAAUGUCUUGCCCUUUAAAUCCAGCCCUAAUGGUCGCUUUAGUGCUGAGGAGACAGGCCCUGGGACAGGCGCCUGGGGUCUUUUCAUAGGGGCCCUCUGAGUAACACAUCAGCUAACACAUCUAUGGGCCACCAUCCAGAGCCUUAUUAUUACCUGCUUCUGUGGCUGUGGCGCCACUGAUUUAGCCAUGACUGUGUAUUGAGGGACAAUGCAAGCAUGGGAAUAGACAUAAUGCACCUAUGGCAAUGAAUCUGGAUGUAAAUGUCUUUUUAAUAUUAGUGUUUGUGGUGUCUGGAGGAGUUUAAAUGGCCACUGGAUGGUUGGUUAUAUAUGGAGAUCAAAAGAUGGCAAUUUAGCACGAUGUUUGGGAUGUCUGCUCUGUGACGGCGCUUACUUCUAAACCUACAAUCUGAUUUCUGCUGCUGAAAUGCAACUUUUUUUGUUGUUUUUAACUUGCAGUCCAGACUAGGACACAAGGAGUUAAUCCCUUGUGUUUUUGCCUGAAGUAACUCUGUGGUAACUUAAUAGCAGAUGUGAGUGUUAUUGGGCAAAUUAUAUGCAAUAUGAGAGCAAACAUACACUUCACAUAAAAACUAACCUGCGUAAACACACCAUUCAUAACUGCAUGCCAUUCUGUGUGGGCUUGCCAGCCAAUGCAAUUAGACGCUUUCUGAGAGGAAGAAAAGAUUAUCAUGCAAAACCUUGUGCCUUGCUCAAUUCAUGUGAAAAGGAGCAUGUUUUCAUUGUGAGUCAGAUUCCGCUUGUCAAUAAUCCACAACAGAUCUCAGCUGAAGUCAUUCUGAUCACACCUCUGGGAUCUGAGAAAUAGGCAGAGGGGAAAAAAAGAUGCCCACAAAUCCCAUGGGAAUCCAUCUCUGCAGAAACGUCAUCUCUUGAAUCACCUGUUGGCCCCGCUCGCUGUUGUUACCCCAACCUCAACUUUUUUUUGCUCAGUGCGGCUCACACACACACAUAUUCACACAAAGGCUUUGAGCUUCAAUCUGCAUGCUGCGGUCCUGUGCAAACACAGAUCAGACCAGACUCAUUGGGCCGUGUCUCUGGCACUCAUCAGGCUGUUUGUACUGCAAUUUCCUCCCCACUCUUAUCCAUGUUUUGUCCACUGUCAUUCCAGCGGGAUUAUGGGAUGCUUUCAUCAUGCAGGAACAUCAACUAAAGCAGUGGGGGAAAUGCAAAGGAGGCAUGUUGUUUUGCUCCUCUCAUCACACAUUGAGUUAUCAUCACAUGCCAUAAUGGAUGCCCCAGUCAGGAGUUAUCCUUGGAGCUAAUUAUUAUUUUGUAGCUGCUCUUCUGUCCUUCUAAACAAAUAGAGUAUUUUUAGCUAACCCAAAGCUCUACCAUCUUCCUCUACCUCUGUCUUAGGCUGUGUGCAGUGUGUAUUUAAUAUAAAUCAGGGGUCAAUGUGCGUCCAAUAGCAAUAGGUUAUUUAUUAUAUCCCUUCAUUUGGAUUUUGAGUUUUCCUGCCGCAUGUACUCUUACAUGAAAGAUAUCACCGUUGAAGUUCAUACACACAGAUUUAAUCAUAACUUUUUGUUGGAUUCAGCACUGUUCUCUUUCGUGUCAAGGCAAGACCACAACAUACUGAUGUUAGGGCUGGGAAAUAAAUCACAAUUUUGUCAUCAUCUUUGUGUAACAAAUUUGUUCUAAACACAUGGAAAAAGUCAGAAUUUGUUGCAGUAAAAGAGAAAAAUCACUAGUUUUUUUAUAACAUUUUACCUGUCAGACGAAGGCCUGGGUUUUAUGGAGUGCUUUCCCAUUACUUGGAUCCAGUCAGAAGAAGCUCAAUCCAGCGUUAAGAUACCAUCAAAUUAACUGGUGCCAGUUUAGUGAUAAAACAAAUAAAAUUUAAGGAUCUAUCGUGAAUUCAGGAGGAGCAUGUACGUAAACAGGUAUUCUGUUUGUGACAAACAGCAUCUGGACAUAGAAAAUAUAUAUUCAAGCUAAUGUUCUUUAAUACCAAGAUGAAUCAAAAACUGUCUUAUAGUAGGUUGUUGACCUUCAUCUGAAGUUGGGAAAGUUCAUUUUUGGCUGUUUUUUUAUGGGCUUAGUCUCCUGUAAUUAUUUAAGCACAAAUUUUGGGGGACGUUAACCUUUGUGGAUGAGGCUAACACUAGGUUACAUGAAAUCACUGCCUUGUUCAUCAAUGGCAAUCACUGUGGAUAUAGUAACAUGGGUAAAAAAAGGAGAAAUAAUAGGAAUAGUCCCAUUCUGAUAAUGUUCCAGCCUGAAUAAGAUCAUUGCUCUAGUUGACAACCUGUUCACAUUUAUGAUAUCUCUCAUCUCCCUGUCAGCUAAGUCUGGGAUGAAAAAUAAUAUGUAACUGUUGGACUUUAAGGCUCAGAUUUUUCUGAAACUAAACUUUACUGCAAAGCUUUGAGGGCCUUUUAGCAAAUCUUUGAUAGACUUUUAAAGUCUGGAUCUAAAACAAGAGCUGCUAGUCUUUAAAAUGAUCUGAAACCGGCUUUUGUGCCACUAUGAGGAUUCGUCUCCCUAAACUAGAUUUCCUCAAGAAGCUUUUGCACAGUUGUGGUCAUUUGUUUUUACCAUAACUAAGUAUUUGUACACUUGUCAUAUUCUCUAAGUAUACACAUUUGACUUCAACUUGUUUACCCGGUCACAUAUUUGCUUUUUACUUGUGCCCUCCUGUGUUUAUUCUUUUUCUAAAGUGGACCAUCGAAGUUAAUAUCCUCAGCUGCAAGUUCUUAGAUUAAGUGAUCAAAUCAGAUUAAGGCUCCGUCUAGACACAAUCCGUGGUUAGCAUCUUGUUUUCUCUUCACAUUAGUUGAGGCUUUGGUGAGGUUAAGAUUAUCCAAAGUCGUUGCUCCGAGGCCUUGGCCACUUGCAGCUCUAAUCUUGGGGUGGGGGUGCAGUUUAGAUGAUUUACUCUUUGAUGAGCUGCCCUGCGUCUCCAAUACUGAUGAGCUGUUAGUCGUCACCACCGCCGAGUCUUGCUGCUGUGGUCUAGGCCCGCCGCCUCCCUUCAAUCCCAGAGCCUUAUUCAUCCCAAGACAAACAGACACAGUCAUUACAAUUAAGCAGUGCUAUUAAAGGGACAGGCUACUGGCAGAUUAAGGGAGGAGAAAUGAAGAGGUUCUUUGUGUUAUUGCGAGCAGUCAGCUCAUUAAAGGUGGACUUAAUGAAGUUUUGAUUGUUUGUCCUCUGGUCUAAAUAUACUUAUUAGGCUGAGUGUGCAGAUUUGUGCACAAAGUCCUACUCUAGGAAAUAGGUUUUGUGAGUAAAGAAGAUUUUAGCAGCUAAAUUGUGCUCUUUUCGCGGCUUUGUAUCUCAAGCACGAAUGAAAACAAAGUGGAAGAGACAUUGCGGGCUCAGACUCGGUUCUUAAGGGGCCUUGAAACUUGAAGGAUUAAGAUUAUGGGGGAGGUUUCUUUUAAAUGACUGAUAGCACAAAGUGAGAGAGGGAGCAAGGCAGGGCAGGGCAGGAGUCUGUGUGGCGGACCAGCAGCAGCUUUACUCUUCAAUCAGUGAGAUGAAAAUUGCCACUCCUGUCAAAGUAGAGGUGUUUACUGAAAGGAGGACAGGGGAGAGAGAAAGAAAUAAGGAGUGACCUCGCGAGAGGGAGAGUUAUGCAACCUGCAUGGUCCAGUGUUUCCCAUGGAGCAGGGCUGCUAAAUUUGGCCAAUCAGGGCAAGAGUUGGUUUCAAAGUCUGUGGGCAGAAAUAGCAGAGGUGUUGAGAGGUAAGACUGGAUGUAAUCCUGAGUGAAGUAUAUUGACACAGGACCAAAUUGCACAUCUCUGAAUGUGAUGAAAAUGUGGCGAAUUGAAUGAUUGUUUUCCUGGGAAUGAAAGUAGGGCAUCAGAGUGUUAAGACAGGCACUCUAAGAGAGAAAGCAGUUCUACGAAAUAUCAGGGAAAUUGAAGUUGAAAAGCAGCAUCUGGAACUUAAAAACAAAAAAUUAAGCUGAAAAAGAAGCUGUUGAUUUGUAAGAUGUGACUCAUGACUUCAGCUUUUAAUCAUUUACAGGGGUUUUUAGUAAGUGAUUCUCAUUAGGAGCAGCUUGGUUCUAAGCCUGGUGUGGUUUGGUGCCAUGGUGGUCUCACUGGUGAUUUAUGAUAUAGUGGGGCCUUGUGGCAGCACUGCCCACAGUGUAUUUUGUCCGUCUAGGUUUCAUUGAUCGGUGAUGUGAUGGAGAACUGCAGUCAAGAAGAUGCCAUUGUUAGGGCACUUUAGCAAAGAUGAGGAUUCCUAAAGCUGUACUGACCCUGUGGCUUUAGUGGUUUAUCAUAUAUAACCUUUAGAUAUUCAAAUAAGUUCCUUUAUCUUUCAAUCUCUGCUUUUGUGGCCUCUGUGACUCAAAACAAUCCCACGUCGUGAAGAAAUGCCGCCACAUCAAAUACUCAUUUGCUUUCUGAAGAAAGUGAAUCAUACUUUUGUGAAGUGCAUCUUAAUAUCUUUAUAACUGUGCUUAAUCAUAGGGUUGUGGUACACCCCUGUCUUGUUUGUGUCUCUGUUCAUUCCAUGCACAUGUGGCCAGCGACAUGCUUGCUUAGAUAAGUGAGCGCCAGCGUGCUCUCUCAGUUGGCGGUUAGAAGUAUGGCAAAGUUCGUAUUGUGUGGGUAACGUGCCUGACAUUGUUUGGAUGUUUGGCUGCGAGUGUUGGACAAUAAUCGACAUCUUCAAGCUUACGUCCAAAGAGUAAAGUAUCAUCUGUAAAUAGGAAUUUGUGUCAAAGUUUUGAGCCUGACAUUGAUACCAUCAGAUACGAUCUAUCCAAACAGAAGAUCUGUAAGAGCGUCUUUACUGCAGCAUUGUAUUCUACCAGGAAGGACUCAACUAGCUCGAGGCGAUACCCAGCUGGCCACCACAUGCUUCAUAUCCUUGAUGCAUUCAGAGACAUGAUACUGCUCCCGUCUUUGUUAUCCUCCACUGGCUUCUCAUCUAUUUGUGUCUUUUUCUCUUAUCCAAAGAUUUAUAUCACUCACUGUAUCUACAGACUGCUCCCAUCAGCAGACACUGCAUUUAAGUUCCCUUUAAAGACAUCCACGCUGUCUAAAGUGGAGGCAGGCCUUGUUCAGAUAGCAGCUGAUGAGCACAGGAAUGCUUUUGGUCUUAUCGUGCUGUCGUCACGAUCCGGCCGCAGCAGCACGCAGGGCCGAGCCCAGGAUGCACGAGUGAGACACGAUGUCAUCCUGAGCUCGAGGUUUCGCGCUGCACCGUGAGUCACGUUCUAAAUCAACAUUUCCUUCUGCUGCUUUUACAGCUGAAAGUCACUCAAGCGACUCCACCGAGAAGAUAGAUGACACCUUUCAUGUUUAGGUGUAGAGUCUGGGAGUUUUUCAUUUCGAGGGUCAAUUAUUGUACUUUGUAGCUAGGUCCCAGGCAAUUAUGUAUCCCAAUUUCUCUGCCAUAAUGAUGAGGCAACUCACCGUGUUUUUUCAGCUGAGAUUAAUUUAGAACAUUUUGUUUUUCUUUGCGGCUUAUUAGGAACCCGUUUUUUUUUUGUAGGAGACUCAUCAGUACUUGCUGACCCAUUAAUUUAAAUGUUCCAGCAUGCUUGUUACACAGGCCUACCUCAGUCUUUUCCACAAGGCUUGUUUUUCUUUCAGUUAAAACUCAAUUACCCAUUAUAUUUUAUGAUCAUUUCUGUUCUGUAUUUUAUACGUAAUUUUACUAUGAGCACUAAUUCUCGCUGACCACAUGAAGAAGACUAAUUAUUAAAUCCAGUAGUGGAAUACGUUUGAACAUUACAGUAACCGUCAGCCGCGGCGUUCCUUUCAUAUGCAAUGCCUUGGUGACAGCGGCGACAACGGUGCGACUGGCUGUCUGUCAAAGUUUCCAGCUUGUAGUCUACGGUGAGCACAGAUCUGGUUGUGAUUACUAUAACGGAGACAGUAAAUCAUGACGCAGCAUGAGACUAAUUUGUGGCGGUGGGGGGAAAAAAAGACCUGGCCCUUUCUUUAUGGAGUCGCAGUAAACUACAAAAGACGCAUUAAGAGCGUGAAGGAACAUUUCAGUAGCGUAUUAGAGGAGAAAGAAAAAUCUACUUUCAGCUUUGUGCGGCUGAGGUGAUGUUCGCUACAGAUGGGUGGCUAAUCAGAGGAAAUAUCAAGUGUUUCACUCAUCUGUCGGGCCACCAUGAGCCUCAAGUAGAGCUUGUCAAAGUCAACUACAAGUCAACUAAUCGUGAUUGUGAUUUUGGAAAUAGUGCAGCCACAAACUUUAUGUAAGAAUGAACUGCUCCAGAAUUAGAUCAGGGAACAGACACUCUGCCACCAUAACACAAUUCACUCAGUAGGUCAUUGAAUAGUGAGUUAUGAAGGACUUGGCAAUCUGCAUCAUGGUCAAAGCGGGCAUAAGCAUGCAACCGACGUGCCCUAUUUGAUCUCAAAGCUAUGAAUCCAUUGCUGGAGUUGGCAGUGGUACUGUUUUACACAACUCCAUUUCUGUUGUCGCUCAGUAUCUUAAAUCUUCUGAAAAUACAUAAUUUACAGUCUGAAAUAACUCCUGCAGCCAAAAUUAGACAACCAGAGUGGACGCUGAACCCCAGCUGCUUUAAAUAAUACUUCAAGGUCAUUAAGGCCCCUGUGAGGAGUUUUUAAGUGCUUUUAAAACAGAUUGAAUUUAGCACUGAUGUCUCUUUACAACCAGAAAAAGCAAAGGGGACCAUCAGUGACAAGACAGAGCAUUUCUAUUGAGUCAUUUUAAAUCCCUGUAACCACUAUUAUGGGUACAAUAUCGGGCAAGACUAACAGCCUGUUACAGAAACAGUCAGAAACAAACUCAACAGCAAAGAUUCAUCAAAAGUGACUCAUUUCAUUAUUGAAAACUGGUAGAAUUUUACAGUAAAAUAAUAAAGGCAUACUGCUUUGACUCAUACUCAUUGAAGCUUUUAGACAUGUCUGAAACCACAUACUGACAUACUUCCUGCUACAUCCUCAGAUAGCACAUAAUGCAUUUUUCCAACUAAUUUGAUGAUUAGGAUGCUUGAAAUAACACACUUAUGUAUCCUCCGACUCCAUUAAUCACUUUUUUCAAGCUAUAAUGGAUAUGUUGGCUCAACCAUAGAGUGGUAAAUAGGCUUCAAUGUUACAGCUACAGAAUAUAUUUUUUAACCACAAUGGAAAACAUACCACUUCCAUUUGUAACCCACUUAUGGCUUGUGGAGUGGGGAGCUCCACUAUUGUGUAGUUUAAAGAGUCUUGAUGCAUUUCUGGGCAGUUAGAUACAAAAUGACCAGUGCGCUUCUAUCUAAUACCAAAAAAAGGCUUUUAUGUAUAUACAUCCGCGUACUGGAGGCACACAGCAUUGCAGGAUGUACUAUGUUCUCAACUCAAUGCCAUACUACUUAGAAUGAUUAUAAACUGAAAGUGUAAAGCCCGUUAUAAACAGCCAUGUGACUAUCGUUGUACAGUCAUGUAGUAAACAUCAGUGCUCCAUCAUCAUCAAAGCCAACAUCAGAAAGACUUUUAAAAACACAUAAGACAAUCAUUUGAGUUUUGAUUGAUGCUUGUCUUUCAUGUAUGACAGAUGAGUGGUGCCACCUUUUGAAAGUAGAGGGUUUUUUUCUGUAAUCUUUUGAAUUUGAGAUUUUAAGAUCCAAGCCAUAAAUUUAUAAGAAUGAAGAUGUUAUAUUAGAAGAUUUAAGAUUCAAUUCAGGAGAAAAAAUAAUGGUUGGCCAUUUUAUUAUUUUAGAAGAGAAGACCAGAAGUGCAGCUAACCACCUGAACUAAAACCAGGAAAGUGAAGUAUCUUUGGAAAUUAUGCUUGAAUGUGGUUUUUAAAAACUGAAUACUCCUUUAGUUUUUUAGCGCAUCAGUCCUUCACUGUCAUCAGGAUUCUGAACUAUUCGGUACUGACACCCAUCUGCCUCACGGUAUCAUCCCAAAUGUUGUUUUGGCCUCAAUAUCAAUUAACUGUAGUCCGUAAUUCUGUAACUUAUUUACCAUAAAAUAACACCUUUACUCUUUUAAAUUACAACCUCAUCUUUGUACAUGUGAAACUUUAAUCUUGUAGCUUGCGGCUUCAACCUUUUUAAUUUAAAAGUUUGACCUCAAAAUAUUAUGUUAUUCUUUCACAUUUGACUUUAUCUUCUAAAUUUAUGACUUUAUUCUCUCACAUUUAUAAAUAAAACUGCAUAAAUUCAUGACUCUCUUCUUUUCGAUGAACAAUUCUGAUCUCUUCAAUAGAGUUAUUCUUAUAUUAUGAUACAAUCCUUGCCAAUUUCAGACCAUUCAUGAAAUGUCUAUUAAAUCUAUGCCUAAAUGUAGCCCUAAUCCUCCGUGACAUUGGCGCUUAGAUGCUUGUUUUUAUACAUUAUUUUAAACUCUAAAUGACAUGGUUGGAGGACUACUUUAAAUUUUGGGUUUCCAGAAUAUAAAAAUAUAAUGCGUCAGGGCAGCGGUGCUGGUGGAGAUACUAUGAGGAGAAUGCAAAAAUUGCGAUUACCCUGCAAUUACCCUGAAUAAAAGCAUGUCAAUUUUAUGUUUCUGUAGUCAUAAACACAAGGUUUGUUUUCAUUGUGUGUGUGUGUGAGAGUGUGUGUGUGUGCGCAUGAUUGUGUGUCAUUACAAAAAACUCUGACUCAUCACCUGACUCCAUAAUCUGCUUAAUUACAUUACAACCAAGAGGAAAAAUGAAAAAAAUGCAGAAUGAUUCCUGGUCGUUUGUUUGUUUAUUUGUUUGUUUGUUUGUUUGUUGGCUCACCUGUGUGUUAACGCUGUGGCUUUUAAACAAGAGUGCUUCUGUCUCGGGAGAUCCAGCAGCGUUUAAGUCAGAAUUUUCCACUCUGGUUGGAGGCCUAGUGAGUCAGCAUCAAUAAAAUUUUUAGGGCCAUCGUGCCCUCUGUGAGCCAAAAUCCAGUGUUGCGAGUAGCAGGCAGAUAAAAUGGGAUUGCCUCGUAUAUCAUCAUCCUAGUACAGGCUGAGUGACUUAUAAGGACAGUAAAUCCUGGUUUGUUUGGAGCAGGAAUAUGUCUUUUUAAACAUAAAACCACAAAAUGUUUGACAUGCCCCAAACGAAGCAUCUUUCCAGAGGGGGCCAAAGGGGUCUGGGAUAACUAAUAGGCGUUGGAAAGACUCCUUAAUUUUUCAAGUCUCCCAUGCAACACAAACAAUGUUUAGAGAAGUGCUUCGUCUGCCCCUUAAUCUUUGGCUGCUGAGAUGUUUUUGUCUCCUCUCCUCUGCUUUUUCAGUUUUUAACUCCUUUGAAUCUACCUCUCUGGGUCAAAUGAUUCCCUGGCUUCACAGCAGUUCUGUGGUGGCUCCACUAAUGGCGCUGUAAUUUUGCAUCUCUUUGAAGUUCUUCCCCGACCGUUGUGUUACCUGAAGUCUGCGCUUCUCUGAGGUUUUGGGAUGGGGCAGGCGAGCUACCCUCCGCAGCCUAAUUAAAUGUAAUUGCUCCAUUUUGUAGUGGUGCCCGUGUGGAGAGGGGAAGCCUUGUAAUAAGGGAGAUUGCGUGAAGGGUCCGAGGAUCACAGACGCCAAAGAGGAGCCACGAGGAGACGAUCGGAGACGCUUCCCCCCUCUGUCGCCUCCUAUGUCCUGAGCAGACCUAGUCAUUACCCCCUCCACUCUUCUCACUCUGGCUCAGUGUCUCCUUCUUCUCUGCCUCCCCUACUCCUUCAUCCUCUCUGUCAUCAUCACUCAGUCAUUCACGUGCACAUCAACAGUGUUUCUCACAGUAUUCCACUUUAAAAAAAGCUUCAUAUGCAGCUGCACACUUAUCUUAGAUUUCUCUUAUCUGGACGUGAUGCAGAGGUUCAUGUUGGAGCUGGAAGAUGAAUCCAGAGUGUGUGCAAGACGUGUCUGGUAUGAUCUCUAUGACAUUCCCUCAGGUGGCGUCACUGUUGUGGGUGCAAAAGCUGGAAUUCUUGGAAUCCUCCAGGCACCUCUGGGACUCCGUAACUGAGUCAGACACCCAAAUGAGCUAUUUAGACCCCCUGACUCUGACUCUGACUCGAGGAGCGACAGGAGACACAUUCUUUCCGGGAAAGAGGAGAGGAAAAAAAAAGGAAAUUACAGAGCAGGAGAGAGACAACAUGACACAGAGAGAGAGGGAGCGCCAGCUUGACCGUGACCCCUGUGGGAUGACAGGCUGAUGGGGGAAGUGUGAUGAAGUGUGUGCAGCAGGUACAAAGGUGACUUAGAUUGAGGGAUAAGCAUCUUUCUCUCUCUCUUCUGUUGUCAAUUUCUAGAAGGAGGGGCCAGAGAUCUUCCAGUGAGGAUGCUGCAAAUCCUUCUUUUUGCUUUAGCCUACUCUUCCCUGCGUCAGGGUGUCCGGCGAUUUGCCUCCCCCUCCUUCGUCUUCCUCCUCCUUCUCCUCCGCCACCCAUCCUCUCUGCUCUGUGGUGCCAGUGCGUCUGCCACACGGCCUUUAAGGCUAAUGCGACACAGGCUCCAGAUCACAUUUCAGCCUCACACGAGCAACCCCCCCCCCCCCCCCCCUUUUCAUUACCUCCCAACAUUUCCUCUCCACCAAGCUGACCAGGACUGGCCCAGGAAGUACUCUUAUUUUAAUCGAAGAGUGCAGAUCAAUAAAGCGCAGGAUUCCCAAAGCCAUCAUUUGGUGUUUUAUGAUCCAGGAAAGUGUCCGCUAAAUGAUUUCUCUGCUUGUUAAAAGAGUUUUUGAAGGUGGAAAUGGGCAGCACUAGCCAGGAUUCGGCUCAGAUGGUGCAGGAGUCGGUGUGUGUGUUUGCGAACGUGUGUGUGUCUGCUUCCUCGACAUCAGUGAGAGUAGGGGUCUCUUGAGGAACCGUGAUAAAAGUCAAGGAGGGAAACAUCAAAAAGUGCAGCAGGGAAUAAGUGUGGUGGGAUCGCACACAGUGCCGGGCCUGCUGUCUCUCUCAUGACCUCCCUGUCAUGUGGCUUCUAUGAGAACCAAACAUCCAGCCACAGUUGUUUCCAUACAAAACCAAGCUGCUUUGGUGAGCCGGAGCGUUUUUUUUUCCCCUUUUCUCCCACAGCUAAUCGUUCGGCUGCUUUUGCAAGGCUGCUUUUCUACAAAAAAAUCAUUUUACCAUGUGUGAAAGUCUCAAAAUGAAACAUGGUGGCAUAUCUUCAUUUCUUAUAAACAUCACUCACCUGUCAGUCCUCCAUGACAGCCUCUUUCUUCGUGUUAUGUGGUCACACAUCUUUCCAGUAAACGCUGAACAAGACACGCACAAAAAAAAAAACUGCUUCUUCAAAACACCACCGAUGUGUAAGUGUGCAACUGCUCCAUAAAUCUGCCAACCUUUUCACGUUCCCGUUCUAAACUGGGGGCAUAACCAAUUAACGAGGCCUACACCGUAAUUCGCUGUCUGGGUGUUGAAUAACCCCUCACUCCCAGUUCCCAUUAGUGGCUUAAAACUGCAAAGGUUCAUAAUUAUACCAUGAAUUGUGUACGUGCUUGAUUUGUAAUUAUACCGUCUAUAUAAUUAUAGAUUCAUGCUUCCUCUGCUCUACCUGUUUUGACACAUAUUUCAUGAACUCUUGUGAUCCAAGCCACUGGUGUGUAAAUGUUAUUGAGUCAGGGAUUGCAGGAGAUCUUUUGGCAGUUGUUUUUGUUGUUUUCCCAACAUUAGUUAAGAGCUGUUUUGGUGUUAAAAUAGUGGUAAUGCAUCAAUCCCUUUUUCUCUGAGAAGACUAUCUGUCCCUGCAGAAUGGUUCUCACUAAUAAAGAGGCUGAUAUUAGCCCUUAAUGUGCAAAUCUUUACUAAAAUAUAGGUUUUCAGGGGGUAUUUAAGCUGCUUUAAGACAUUCAGAGCAUGAAUUUGCACAUUUGUUCAACCGCAUAGCCACUCUAUGAUAGUGUCCUUUCACUUUUAAGUAAAAGUACAGCAAGUGCUCUCGAAUUAAUGUAAUUGUUUGAAGUGUAAAGUGUAAAAUCAGCAUCAGAUGGCAUUCAUUUAUGAGCUUAUCAAAUCCAGAUGGAGGAAUAUUUUACUCAGCGUGAUUCAAAUAUCCAUCUCUUUGAGUCUGCUAGCAAUUAAACCAGUCAGUGAGCGUUCAACAGCCUGAGAAAAAUCCACUCUUUUGGAAUCAGUGGGACACAAAGCAGGUCUGAGCUGUUAACACUGGGAAAGACCACCCCGGAUUUUGACUGUAAAUGAUAUUAUACGUCCUUCACGGCUCAAAGUCCUACAUCAAAGCGGAGCAGACAAUACAACCGUGGCUGCUGUUAUGCCCUGUGUGAGAAAAUCUUGAGUGUUUUGAGUGAUUGUAGAGCUAAUCUCUCCUUUGGAUACACAACAGUGAUGGCAUUCCUCUGGAGGAACAUGGUGUAAAAGACAACCAAUCAGGUGAAAAAUUGAGAGCGAGCCAGAGGACCAAUAAAAAAGAGCAUCAUGGGAAACUCCAGAUGUUCAGGAAGAUGGUGAAGAACAAGAAGAACGGCUGUCAGAAAUGGGCCCCGGGCUGUAUGGGGUUGUAAUUUCAACCCUAUUAAGAUAUAUUAGUGUUAAUUUGUUUAAAGACAAGGAGCUGUUGUGUUGUGAGAAGAAGGCCCAUUGUGUUUAGACUGAGGGUGUGGGCGGCAUUAAUUAGAUUUAUCUGCAAAUGUUGGCAAAUGAAACAUCAAUCGCUAAUGAAUGGAAAAUAUUUGUGUGCAGUUGAUUAAAUAAACCCAUAGAUAAUAUUAAUUAAAAAUAUUGUGUGUUUUCAGGCUAUAAGGCAAAGAAACGUGUAAACAUUUCGAUAUUGAAGUAUUAAUUAAAUGGUGGAACGGGGAUAGGAAUACAAAUCAUGUUUGAACCACAUAAUGAGAUGGUAUAAACAAGUUUCUUUGAGACGUCACAGCUAAUCCUGCAAACAGCAAAUCUGUUGUGUAAUUUUCUCAUGAAGUUCAAAAGGUAAGGCUCCUGAUGAGGUGGCAGGUGGCUUGAACCUGCAUUAAAGGCUGUCUUUUAUUUCCUGCAAUUUUCAAUAUUUACUGUCCCAGAAGUGGAAGUCGUGCUACAACCAAAAAGAAAGGAGAAAAAGUGGAGGACACUUAUUUCAUAUUCUAACCCUUUGGGCCCACACUGUGAAGAGUUUGAGCUGAUUCUUGUGACCCCUUUCAACCAAAUUGGUGGUGUUUUAUGGGAUGAAUAGUGCGUUUCCAAUCAACCCCCACUGUCGUUAAGAUGUGGCUCUUGUCAAGUUGAGCAUUUGUUCGAGGUAACCUUUAGCAGGAUGCAGACUAAUGAGGGAAUGUGACAUGCAACAUAACAGUUCGACACUUUGUUAGCGCAGAUAAAUCACUAUUUGCUAGACAUACCAGUUCAGCCCUGAUGUCAUGAUGUGUGCUUCAGAGUUCUUGAAUAGCAGGCUCUAAAACAGUGGUUCUCAACUGGUCUAAUUCUGGGACCCACAUUUUCCCAUGGUUCUUAAGUCACUUUUAUAGAAUUCAAACCAAGCAAAUUUUAUUUUUUAGGAAAAAAAUCCUUUAAAGACUCUAAUCUUUAACAUAAAUCCACUUGAUUUAUUGAGUGAAGUGCAUUUCAGAGCACAUGAAGGGGACAACAUGAGGAAGACAACUACUGAAGUUGCAUAUACAGAAAUUAUCAAAUAUCUAAUAAAUAUCACUUUAAAUAUUUACUUUUUUGACCAGCUGUUUGUGACCCAUCCAGAACAUGUCCGCGACCCACUUUUGGGUCGGGACCCACCAGUUGAGAACCACUGCUCUAAAAUUCCUUAUAUAGAAACAACCAGUACUGCCUCUCUUCUCUAAUUUCACUGCACAGGUCAUCAAUAUAAGGAUCAGUGUGAGAGUAUUUUAAAGUCAGUGAAAAAAACUAAGAAGUGUCUUCUAGAAGAGGAAAAACUGGCAAACUUUUAAACCUAUAAGCCGCCAUGAAGAGACAGAGGUGGACCACUGAGCACCAGAUGAGCUCCAGAGGGGUCAAAAGGCUGACAAGUAAAUGAAAAAAAAAAGAGAGAAAAAUAAAACACAUAUCAGCCUCUCAUUAGAGUGCAGUGCACCAUGGGGACUUCCUGGGUUAAUAACUGGGAUGGGGUUUUGCUGUACUUUGUGUCUCAGCAGCAGGAGAGGAACACAACCCUUUAAUACAGCAGCUUCAAUUACACCACAUCAGGAAAACGAUGCCCCUUAGAUCCCAUUAACAAAAAUAAUACUCAGAAACUGUAACAUGUGUGUGUGUGUGCGUGAGAGAGAGACAGUUUUCGUGCAUGAAAGCAGAAGUGUCCUUUGGUGAGAUAAAUUUGGCUCAUCUUCUCGUGGCGUUUCUCCAAAAUUCAGAAAUUAGUCAGAAGUGUCCUUUAGCCAGCAAUGAAAAAAAAAGACUGAUGUGUUUGAAAGCUCAAACAGUGCAACAACAUCUGUUAAAUUGCUGCAAUUGAUAAUCAUCACAACUACCGGCAAAUUGCUGCAUCUUAUCGUGGGCAAUUAACAAAAUACGGAACUUCUUAAACACCCUCCGGCUGUCUUUCCUCUUCCUGAAAUUCUCUCCCUCUCUCUCUCUCACUCACUCACUCAGGCAUAUGUGGCCUCAUGUCAGGGGAUGCCUCUUGUAGUAAAUGCCCAUUGAAGGAAGCUAUUUUGCCAAAUGCCAAAGCCAUUGAGUUGCUUCAUAUCCUGUCUGAUAAGCAGCCACAAAGAGCCCUCUUUUUUUUCCCCUAAGCUCUCAAACCGUUUCUAACAUCUUAACAUCCUCCUCCUCUCUUCCUUCCCGCUCCCUCCUCCUCCUCCUUCCCCUCAUCUUGUUAGUUGAUAAAGAGCGUUGUAAUGUCAGGAAGGACACACAUUCCUCUCCAUGAACUCACAGAUCUCUGAAGAACCAGGGGUUAGCUUCCCUGCAAUAAGGGUGACAGAUCAGAGAGGAAUGAGAGGAAAGGGAAAACAAGGGAUGAGACUUGGAGAGAUUUGCAACACUUAAGGGGAAGAGAGGGACCAAAAAGAGAGGUAAAAGACACAUUAAAACUCCAAAAGGAAGAGCUAAAUAUCAUUAGUGAUAAAGAUUUAUCACAGGUCUGAAUGUGUUGAGCUUUAUUGUACCACUUACAAGCCAAGCAGCUCAGACUGCUUUAAAAAAAAAAAGAGAAAACAGGUUAAAAUUGGCUUUAUCGUAAAUGAGCCACUAAUGAAUCAGCUAUUCUCCUCCGUGGAAAAAUUCCGAGGGCCUAACUUGGCUCCUGCCUGCACACACUUCUCACCACUCCUGCACAGCAUCCAAAGUGCAGCAAGUUUACGCGAUUUUCUCUGCAGGAGUCAACAGUAGCAGCUUCUCUGAGUCCAUCAGUUGUGAUUGUAAAUUACAUGCACAGCACAACAAAAAAGCCUCUGUGUGUCUGCAGUGAUCCAACUUCUCAAAACACCCUCCCUUGUGGGCAAUAUUUUGGACGUCUCGCAAGUAGGACUCUCUAUAAAAGCAGGCUUGGUUCUCAGCCCCAAACCAUUAGUAAGUAAGAUGAGGCACUCGUCGUGGUACACAGGCGUUAAUUGCCUCAUUGCCUGUAACUUUUUUUUUUUUUUUUUUUUUAAUGCUGAUGUUUUAGUAAACACGGUUGUUCGGCAAGGAUUGUAAACACCUGCGUGCUGGGAAAUAUUAUUUGUGAUCAGGACACGUGGAUUGAGAAGCGCCUGUCUGGAGCUGAUAAGUGAAAAGAUGUUGAGUGUGUGUUCGCAGACUAGUGAUCUGUGUUAUCUCUCAGAAGCUUGUGGUAGUAAUUGUCAAUUCGAAGAUCUUUUAUCUCCUCAUUCUCUUUAAUCUUAGAGCCAUGCUUUGGUUCCUCACUCAUCUUCCAUCCCAGACUGAGACUGAUCUGGAAACUGUCUCCAGAUGCUCCACUUGUCCAAGCACGAAAACUAAAAGAAGCUGUCCAAAAACCAUAUCGAAUCCCUACAUUAAUGCAUAAUUUGGUUUAAAUUUCACCAUUCAGGGGAUCUUUAAAUGUUUUUGAUACUUAUGUAUUUCCUUCCAGGUUGAAUUUCAAAAAAUUAAAUGUUCUUUCCAUUUCUUCACAAGCAGAACCUAGCUCCUGCUCGCUAGAUUUACUGCCCGUAACAUUUUACAGUCCAUAACUCUCUCAGGUUUACUCUCUUUUUAUUUGCACAUUUUCAAUUUGUCAACAAGAACUAUUUCAAUCUCGUUAGCCUUGCUGACUCUGCAGAAAGAGACCUCUAUAUCGAGCAAAAAACAGUGUAACAUACGAAGCCUCCCCAGUUUGGCUCCUAUCAAAAUGGCUGAGAUGCUUGUGGCUUUGUGAUUAAGCUGCUGCAAACCGCACAGCCCAGGGAGAGUAAACCCAACAUUUAAACCAAAACCCAGAUACAGACAGCCUGGGCAACAACAGUGGCAUAUUAGUACUUACCCCAAGACAAAAUGUCCGUCAUUUGUGUGUAACCCACAUUCAGGCAAUUCAGCUUCUCAGCACAUGGAAUUAAGUCUGUAAGGCUUGAGGGGGUUUGAGGUGGUAUUAUGUGCCCAUUUGACAGGCCUGGAUUGUCUGGAGGAAUUAAGAUGAAGACUUUUAAAAGUGGCUCAUGAGAUUUAGGGUUCAGAUUUUCAGCUUCACCUUACUUUAACAUAUUCCUGCAUGUUUUUCACACUUUCCCCCGUUUCUCAUAAACGCUCAGAUCACCUUGGAGUUGGACUUCAAAGCGAGCGACAAUUGGUCAUCAGCAGCACCACUUCUUACCAAGUCCCUGUGAAUCUCUUUCUGACCGGCGGGACCUAGGAAAAUAACCCAUCUGUCCGGCAAAUGCUUCCAUAUGGACACAAAGCGAGGGGCGCAUUCUUGUGGAAAUGAAAGCAGCUCCUUUAAUCUGAGAGACAUAAUCAAUAAAUGAUAAAGCCUGUAGCUGCGGGGACAAAGCAGUAGUUUGAAGAUAACAUUGGACAAGAUUAGUGAUGGGACAACAUGGGGUGGCAGGGGGUGAUGUUGAAUUAAAACAUUAUGCAUGAAGGACUGGAGUUAGUUGCUUGGUAAUCACAGGUUCCCUAUCAGCUCUUUAGAUCACUUCCUGCAGGCUUAGCUCGGUCGUAUUCAAGUGAUCAUUGUUUUAUCUGGAAGGAAUGCUAAUUAGAGUUGUAGAGAAGCCAAGCCUUGCCGACAUCACCAAAAUACACUCUGUGGUCAGUUUAAACGAGACAAUGGAGGCCUUCACAGCAACUAUUAUGCAAAGGAGACAUUGGAGUACCAUUUUAGAACGCAAUCUCUUUCUAGCAAAUAUUUACCACCAGCAGCAGCAGACUGGAGUAAGAGCUCAGAAGUCAGACAGCAGGGCUAAUGACUGAGUAUGGGGAAGAGCUGAAAUGUACAUGUCAGGAACAGGGGGUUAGGCUGAGGCUUCUGAGUUGGGUUCAAGCUGCUGAAGAAUGUGCUGAGUUGAACAUUUGAUGCAUGAGAUAACCAAAGAAGUAG